rnacentral:misc_RNA from 1 species
ACAAUGUAAAUCAUUCUUGCAUUUCCCACAUUCAUAUUAAUGCUAAUGAAUCUAGAUAGAUAUAUAUGUCUAGAUUCAUUAGCAUCAAUAUGAAUGUGGGAAAUGCUAGAAUGACUUACAUUGUG